GACGAACGCUGGCGGCGUGCUUAACACAUGCAAGUCGAACGGAAAGGCCCUGCUUUUGUGGGGUGCUCGAGUGGCGAACGGGUGAGUAACAUGUGAGUAACCUGCCCUUGACUUUGGGAUAACUUCAGGAAACUGGGGCUAAUACCGGAUAGGAGCUCCUGCUGCAUGGUGGGGGUUGGAAAGUUUCGGCGGUUGGGGAUGGACUCGCGGCUUAUCAGCUUGUUGGUGGGGUAGUGGCUUACCAAGGCUUUGACGGGUAGCCGGCCUGAGAGGGUGACCGGCCACAUUGGGACUGAGAUACGGCCCAGACUCCUACGGGAGGCAGCAGUGGGGAAUAGUGCACAAUGGGCGGAAGCCUGAUGCAGCAACGCCGCGUGCGGGAUGACGGCCUUCGGGUUGUAAACCGCUUUCGCCUGUGACGAAGCGUGAGUGACGGUAAUGGGUAAAGAAGCACCGGCUAACUACGUG
rnacentral:rRNA from 1 species